rnacentral:tRNA from 1 species
UAGAUAGUAGUAUAAAUAAAUACACUCGACUUCGAACCGAGAAACGUUCAGCCUAUCUAC